ensembl:lncRNA
CUCAAUACUGCUUAGAGCCGUCCCCUGCCCCAGAGUGAGGGCCAAGGCUUGUCUUGGGAGUGCCCCACCUGUGUGUCCAUCUUCUCCUCCUGCCCUUUCCCCUGGAUCCCCUCUCCUUAGCCAUGUGGACUGCGGUCUGUGGUCUCCGUGGCUUUGGCUGCUGCAUUCUCAGCCUGGAAUACCCGUUCUGGCUUCUUCACUUGGCUAAUUCUUACUUAUCCUCCAAGCCUCAUCGUGAUGCUUUCUUUCAUUCAGAACAUCUUUAUUGAGUGUCUACUAAGUGCAGGACACUGUUCUGGCCAUGGGGGACCAAGACAGACAAGGGCCCUGUUCUCCUGGAGCUGCUGGUCUCAGUAGAGAGACACGCACGAAGGAAGCACACAAGUGAACAAGAACAUUCAGACGUGCCAUGGAGAGGACAAAGGAGGGUGACAAGAGUUGUGCAAACAUCAGAACAAUGGAUUUUAGAACAUUUUAACCACACACACAAAAAACGACCUAAACCCUCCUGCUGGGGCCCCGACCUCAGCCUCGUGGGAGGACUCGAAGUUCAGGAGUUGGCUGCAGCUGUGAGUUUAGAGCCGAGGAGUUCUGCGUGGGACGGCUGCCUCUCUCUUGGCAUAUCAAUAAUGAGCCUUUGCUUACUGGCAUUUUAAAUGUAUACGCUUGGCUUCUCUGAAUUAAGACCUCGAUUCUCCACUGAAAAUCUCAAAACAACCUACGGACAAAUAGGUCGAAUUCCAGGAGAGCCUUCAGAGGGCUUUCCUAGCUGGAACAGGGGGCGUGCUGUCCAUGCAGCCGCUCAGAAUGUCUGGAAUUCACCAGACCCCGCGUUUCUAAAGCCUGAGGCUUAAUGGAACCUGACUUUGUGGCAUGUGCUGGCACAGAAGGGGCUGAGCCAGGGGGAACCGGGGGCUCUUUGAACCCCAGGACCACUCUGCCAGCCCCUCCACGAAGGGCCCGUGGUGUCCAGUUUAACCGUAUGUCCAGUUCGCUUAGCCCCAGAACCAGUGCCUGGAGUAGGCGAUAAUUUAGCCUUUCCUCAGUGCCGGGACAGGCUCCAUUGUCCCAAAUUUUCACCUCCUUUGCCCACCUCCUUCAAUGAAACACGAGUGCCUGAAUUUUACCUCUGCAGAUGUAUUUAUGAAAGUAUGGAAGGGGAAUGGUUAUAACAUUUUCCCCCUGCCUGGUACACAAAAGAGGUCACUUGUCUUUUUGCCGUGCACGCCGGAUCCCCCAAUUUAGCAGAAUGUUCGGCGUCUCUCUCCUGGCCGCAUCCCUCCCUCUCUUGGACUCGUGAGGGAAACUCAAGUUUUCCAGCAGUCUCCAGGGGUCAGGCUGCAGUCAGAGAUGGGCGAAGUGAGCUCUGCAGAACCUCAUCUGUUCUUGCAUCCUUUUGCUCACGGCCAGCUCUGCAUUCUCUGUCCUCCUUGCUCAGAGACAGGCACCAAACCUGGCCGGUUGAAACAGAAAAGAAUUUCUCAAAGGUUGUUUAUUGGGUAGCUUCCAGAAUCUUUAGGAGGGCGGGAGACCCGGGCUUGGAGCUUCCUCAGCUAGGAACAACUUCUAAAACCACAAAACUGUUCCUAUGCUGGGCACGGACACUGUCAUGGGCACCACCAACACCAGCAGGGCUGGACCCUGGUUCCAGGGCUGAUGCUGCCUCUGGAAACCUGAUUCAGCUCACGGCUGCCGUCCUUGCCAGAAUGGAUUCUAUGCUGUCCCUGCUUCUCUGUGUCGCCAGCACCCAUCAGUGUCCUGAGAGGGCAUGUCUGCCAGGAGAAGCCUAGCUCACGUGCCGUCUUCCUCGAUGGCUCAGGCAUCCAAGGUCACCUCAUUAUGGCUCUGUGCGAAGACAGCACCCCAAAGGGGCCAUGGAUUUGGAGCAUCUGAUCGGCUUUCUGACUCGGAUCCACUAGCUUGUAAAAGCCAAUAAAUGUCAAAGAUCUGCCAGGCCCAUUAACCUCUGGAGGUCUAUUAAAAGACUCUGCUUUUG